CCUACGGGUGGCAGCAGUGGGGAAUAUUGCACAAUGGGGGAAACCCUGAUGCAGCGACGCCGCGUGAGUGAAGAAGUAAUUCGUUACGUAAAGCUCUAUCUGCAGGGAAGAAACACUGACCUUACGGCCAGCAGACGGUACCUGUGUAAGAAGCCCCGGCUAACUACGUGCCGGCAGCCGCGGUAUUAAGUAGGGGGUAAGCGCUAUCCGGAUUUACUGGGGGUAAAGGGGGCGUAGACGGUGCGCCAAGUCUGGAGGGAAAUGCCGCAGCUUAACUGCGGAACUGCUUUGGAAACUGGCGCACUAGAGUGCGGGAAGGGUAAGCGGAAUUCCUGGUGUAGCGGUGAAAUGCAUAGAUAUUAGGAAGAACACCGAUGGCGAAGGCAGCUUACUGGCCCGUAACUGACGUUGAGGCUCGAAAGCGUGGGGAGCAAACAGGAUUAGAUACCCGAGUAGUC
rnacentral:rRNA from 1 species